AUACUUACCUGGAAGGGGAAAUACCAUGAUCACGAAAGGUGAUUUCUCUAAAGCGAGGUUUAAUCCUUUGCACUCCGUGUGUACUGACCCCAAAUUCCGGGAAACUUGACCGCACAGUUUGUAAUAGGGGAACUACCCCCCCC
ensembl:snRNA Rnvu1-33 RNA, variant U1 small nuclear 33